AUUAACUUAGACAAAAGCACUCACAGAUAUACACUCAUCAUACAAUGUGGGCCUUGUUGGUGCUCGCUCUUGCCCUCGCUGUCGGGCCUUCAGACACCAACAACGACACAGCGGCUGAAGGAAAGCUAGUCAUAGCCAGAGGUAAACUGCUGGCCCCCAGUGUGGUUGGAUGAUCCAUAAAGAAAAUGCCUGAGCUCUAUCUGUUUCUCAUGGAGCGAUGGGCUUUGUACCACAACUUGGAGUAUGAUUCAUCAGAGGAGAAGAAGCCCCGUUUGAUAUUCUACAACGACAAAGACGAGGUUGUAAAGACUGUUCCUGUGAAGAAAAUGAAGGCAGACGAGAUCAGCAGCCUGUUAGAUUCACUCGGUUUCUACAAGAGGUCCCAGAAAGGGGAAGAGGUGCCAGAGGAGUUCCAGCAUUUCCCCCUGCGUGCCCCCAGGGACGAGCUCUGAUGACACCUUGUGGCCAAACUCUGCCUCUGCACCUCGGCCACGUUAAUGAUGAGUGGGGCCCCAAGGCCAAAAAGAUAAGCCAGGCGCUAUUCUGAGGAGCCGCUGGCCUGGUGCAGUGUGCAGAGUGUUAGUCAGUGCUGUGUCACUCUAUUUAUGAGCUAUAGUUAAAUAAAUGACAGUAAAAUAUGGUAAUAAACGCUUUCAAU
rnacentral:lncRNA from 1 species